UACGGGGGGGGUAAGCGUUGUUCGGAAUUACUGGGCGUAAAGGGCUCGUAGGCGGCCAACUAAGUCAGACGUGAAAUCCCUCAGCUUAACUGGGGAACUGCGUCUGAUACUGGAUGGCUUGGAUUCGGGAGAGGAAUGCGGAAUUCCAGGUGUAGCGGUGAAAUGCGUAGAUAUCAGGAGGAACACCAGUAGCGAAGGCGGCACUCUGGGCCGGUACUGACGCUGAGGAGCGAAAGCGUGGGGAGCGAACAGG
rnacentral:rRNA from 1 species